rnacentral:rRNA from 1 species
GUUACGCUGGGGCAGAGGCGGCGGGAAUACAUAGGGGGCGAGCGUGAAUCGUAAUUACUGGGCGUAAAGCGAGUGUAGGUGGGUCAGUAAGGCACAGGUGAAAUCCCCGGGCUUAACCUGGGGACUGCAUGUGAUACUGGUGGUGCUAGAAUAUGUGAGAGGGAAGUAGAAUUCCAGGUGUAGCGGUGAAAUGCGUAGAGAUCUGGAGGAAUACCGAUGGCGAAGGCAGCUUCCUGGCAUAAUAUUGACGCUGAGACGCGAAAGCGUGGGGAGCAAACAGGAUUAGAUACCCGAGUAUUC